rnacentral:rRNA from 1 species
AACGAACGCUGGCGGCAUGCCUAACACAUGCAAGUCGAACGAGACCUUCGGGUCUAGUGGCGCACGGGUGCGUAACGCGUGGGAACCUGCCCUUAGGUUCGGAAUAGCUCCCCGAAAGGGGUGCUAAUACCGGAUAAUGUCUUCGGACCAAAGAUUUAUCGCCUUUGGAUGGGCCCGCGUUGGAUUAGCUAGUUGGUAGGGUAAAAGCCUACCAAGGCGACGAUCCAUAGCUGGUCUGAGAGGAUGAUCAGCCACACUGGGACUGAGACACGGCCCAGACUCCUACGGGAAGCAGCAGUGGGGAAUAUUGGACAAUGGGCGAAAGCCUGAUCCAGCAAUGCCGCGUGAGUGAUGAAGGCCUUAGGGUUGUAAAGCUCUUUUACCCGGGAUGAUAAUGACAGUACCGGGAGAAUAAGCUCCGGCUAACUCCGUG